UUAUUAUUAAAUUACUAGUUUUUUUGUUUAGUUAUUAUUUUUAUUAAAAAUAAUUAUAAUCUAAUUUGUUUUAGUAUUGUAUAUAGAAAAAAUAAUUUUAGUGAUAGUGUAUUAGUACCGUGAGGGGUUUUUGAAAUAUAUUGAAAAUUUAAUGUUUAUAAAGAAAAUUUUAUUUAUUGUACCUUUUGUAUCAGGGUUGAUUAAUUAAUAAUUAGAUAUUUAAUUUUCUCGAUUUCAGAAGAGUUAAUAAGUUAUUAAAGUUAAUGUUGAAUAAUUAUUUUUAAUAGUUUAUUGGAAAUGAAAAGUUAAUCGUUUCUGAAGGUAUCUAGUUUUUUAAGAAUUGAAUUUAAUUCAUUUUUAUUAGUUGAUUGUAUCUAUUUUGGUUAGGUAUAAUUAUUAAUAUUAAAAAGGUAAAAGGGAUAAGCUUUUUAUCUAUUUGAAAAAGAUAUAAUAAUAUUUGAUAUUUUGUAGGCUUAGAAGUAGCUGUCAAUAGUAAGUGUGUUAUAACUUGUUUUAGAAAUUAUAUUAUUUAUUAUUUUUUUCCUUGUUUAUUAAAAUAUUUUAUUUAAUUUUUAUAUAGAAUUAAUAAUGAUUGAAUUAGUAUAUUUUGAUGUAUUUUAUAUUAAUUAAUUGAGAGAUUAUUUAAAUGAAUUCGGCAAAUAUUAUGUUCGCCUGUUUAUCAAAAACAUGUCUUUUUGAAGUUUAAUAUAAAGUCUGACCUGCCCACUGAUAUUUAUUAAAUGGCCGCAGUAUUUUAACUGUGCAAAGGUAGCAUAAUCACUAGUCUUUUAAUUGGAGGCUUGUAUGAAUGGUUGGACGAGACAUAUACUGUAUCUAUUUAAUUUAUAGAAUUUUAUUUUUUAGUUAAAAAGCUGAAAUAAUUAUGAAAGACGAGAAGACCCUAUAGAUCUUUAUAUUUUGAUUGAUUUUAGUUAUUUAGGUUAAUUAAACUAAGAUUUGAUUUAAGUAUUUUGUUGGGGUGACAUUAAGAUUUAUUUAACUCUUGAUUAUUUUUUACAUUGAUUAUUGAAUAUAUAGUGAUCCUUUAUUAUGGAUUAAAAAAUUAAGUUACCUUAGGGAUAACAGCGUAAUUUUUCUGGAGAGUUCUUAUCGAUAGAAAAGUUUGCGACCUCGAUGUUGGAUUAAGAUUAAUUUUGGGUGUAGAAGUUCAAUUUAUUGAGUCUGUUCGACUUUUAAAUUCUUACAUGAUCUGAGUUCAGACCGGCGUGAGCCAGGUUGGUUUCUAUCUUUAUUAAUAUAAAAUAUUUUAGUACGAAAGGACCAAAUAUUUGAAUUAUAAUUUUUAUAUUUGAAUAAUAUUAAU
rnacentral:rRNA from 1 species